rnacentral:tRNA from 1 species
AAAAACAUAGCAUAAAUAAAUGCAUUUCACUUACACUGAAAAAAUGCUUACAUAAGCUGUUUUUAA